rnacentral:lncRNA from 1 species
UUUGAGGUUGUUUCUCCUAUGAGGAGCUUGCUUAUUUCACCCAUGAUUCUCUCUACUCCUAUAAAUCCGCUGGUUGUCAAUGCUUGCUUCUCAUGUUCACGGUCUUCCCUUUGGACAGAUCUAGAUCUACACCGGCAUUUACCACCAUCAUCGACUAGUUGUCUGAUGACCACUCUCCCUAAGGGGAAGAUUUGCUCACCUUUGUUAUGGUGUGACCAAGGCAACAUAUCCGGAAAAUUUCGUUCAGAUCUUGCCAGACUCGAGCAUUUUAGAUGCUCUGCCCAUGAUGUACAAUCUCUCGAGGCAAUGAAAACUUUGUUGGCUU